GUGUGUGUGUGUGUAUGUAUCUAUCUAUCUAUCUAUCUAUAUAUGUAUAUAUAUAGAUAGAUAGAUAGAUAGAUACAUACACUGCUG